rnacentral:lncRNA from 1 species
AAUACAGUUCUAUGAAGAAUACAUAUGUCAUUCAUAAUGACGUGUUAAAAAAAAUCUUAACUGACAAGCGACUAGACUACAACGUCUCUGUCUUUUGUACAACUUAUUCAGCAUUUUAUUUUACUUAAAUAAUCUAGGACUACAAUUCCUAAAAUGAAAAGCGAAAGAUAUCAACGAGAUAUUCAAAUGCACUAGUCGAAAUCACACUGAGCACCAGGACUGAUAAUUAUAAUGCAUACAGAACAACAAACAUUAAAGCAAGAGCAACACGAACUAUUUUAAACAAACCGG